CAAGGGAAGGCUCUAGAGAGCCAAACCCUAGUUCAUCAUAUAUCAUCCAAUUGAAGGAUGAAUCGAGGCUCAAAUUCAAGAAGGAACAUGAAUUAACGAUCACCCAAGCUAAGGGAUCAUAAGGAAUCAUGUCAAGAUGGAUGGGAUCGUUGAAGGCUAACGGGCUAAGAAGACUCAAUCAAGUAAGCGAACGCAAAUACGGACGCGCAAGGCUAUACAAGUUUGUAUGUUUCAUCAAGAAGUGUACGCGGUUGAAGAUCGAGUCAAGACAUGGAUUGUAUGUAGGUGUGUACGUUGUG